rnacentral:lncRNA from 1 species
GUGUUCCAGUUGAGUGGUGGGAUGCUACUAUGAAUCUAAUUUCUAACUUAACAGCUCAAGUAAUUAGUCUUCAAGAGCAAGUUACCAAAUUAAGUUCUCCGGGGAUCUCACCAGCCACUGGAAUUUAUCAGUCGUCAGGACAGGAACAACGUAAUCUGGAAACACCUGUCUUCUCACUGAGGCCGGAAUUGUUGUCACUCUCUCGACCAAUUGUUGUUAUGAAUGCUCUGUUGCUACCCAUGCCGAAAUAUGAUGGUAAGACAAACAUAAAUGAUUUUUCUCUGAUAUGGAACAUUAUUUUGCAG